rnacentral:ncRNA from 1 species
CCUAGUACGAGAGGACCGGGAUGGACAUGCCACUGGUGUACCAGUUGUUCUGCCAAGAGCAUCGCUGGGUAGCUACGCAUGGAUGUGAUAACCGCUGAAAGCAUCUAAGCGGGAAGCCAACUCCAAGAUGAACAAUCCCCGAAGGUCGCAGCAAGACUAGCUGCUUGAUAGGGUAGAUGUGUAAGCAUAGUAAUGUGUUUAGCUGACUACUACUAAUA